UACUUGUAAGCUAUCGCUUUGCGAUGGGUCUGCGUCUGAUUAGCUAGUUGUGGGGUAACGGCCUACCAAGGCGACGAUCAGUAGCCGGUCUGAGAGGAUGAACGGCCACAUUGGAACUGAGACACGGUCCAGACUCCUACGGGAGGCAGCAGUGGGGAAUCUUCCGCAAUGGGCGAAAGCCUGACGGAGCAACGCCGCGUGAGUGAAGAAGGGUUUCGGCUCGUAAAGCUCUGUUGACGGGGACGAAUGUGCGAAAUGCGAAUAGUUUUUCGCAAUGACGGUACCCGUCGAGGAAGCCACGGCUAACUACGUGCC
rnacentral:rRNA from 1 species